rnacentral:rRNA from 1 species
UGGGGAAUAUUGCACAAUGGGGGAAACCCUGAUGCAGCGACGCCGCGUGAACGAAGAAGGUAUUCGUAUCGUAAAGUUCUGUCCUAUGGGAAGAUAAUGACAGUACCAUAGAAGAAAGCUCCGGCUAAAUACGUGCCAGCAGCCGCGGUAAUACGUAUGGAGCGAGCGUUGUCCGGAAUUAUUGGGCGUAAAGGGUACGCAGGCGGUUUAAUAAGUCGAAUGUUAAAGAUCGGGGCUCAACCCCGCAAAGCAUUGGAAACUGAUAAACUUGAGUUGUGGAGAGGAAAGUGGAAUUCCUAGUGUAGUGGUGAAAUACGUAGAUAUUAGGAGGAAUACCAGUAGCGAAGGCGACUUUCUGGACACAAACUGACGCUGAGGUACGAAAGCGUGGGGAGCAAACAGG